rnacentral:tRNA from 1 species
UCCCUCAUAGUCCAGUGGCUAAGACUUGAGCUUCUAAUUCAGGGGACCCAGGUUUGAUCCCUGGUCAGGGAA